rnacentral:rRNA from 1 species
AGAUUGAACGCUGGCGGCAGGCCUAACACAUGCAAGUCGAGCGGCAGCACGGGUACUUGUACCUGGUGGCGAGCGGCGGACGGGUGAGUAAUGCCUAGGAAUCUGCCUGGUAGUGGGGGAUAACGCUCGGAAACGGACGCUAAUACCGCAUACGUCCUACGGGAGAAAGCAGGGGACCUUCGGGCCUUGCGCUAUCAGAUGAGCCUAGGUCGGAUUAGCUAGUUGGUGAGGUAAUGGCUUACCAAGGCGACGAUCCGUAACUGGUCUGAGAGGAUGAUCAGUCACACUGGAACUGAGACACGGUCCAGACUCCUACGGGAGGCAGCAGUGGGGAAUAUUGGACAAUGGGCGAAAGCCUGAUCCAGCCAUGCCGCGUGUGUGAAGAAGGUCUUCGGAUUGUAAAGCACUUUAAGUGGAGAAGGCAGUUACCUAAUACGUAUCUGUUUGACGUUACGACAGAAUAAGCAACCGGCUAAACUCUGUGCCAG